rnacentral:rRNA from 1 species
GAUGAACGCUGACAGAAUGCUUAACACAUGCAAGUCUUUGGCGAAUCUGUGCUUGCACAGGCUAGCCAAGGCGGACGGGUGAGUAACGCGUAAAGAACUUGCCCUGCAGACAGGGAUAACAGACGGAAACGACUGAUAACACCUGAUACAGUUGCCGGCACGCAUGUGCCUGGCAAUGGAAAGAGAUGCUGCAGGAGAGCUUUGCGUCCUAUUAGCUUGUUGGUGAGGUGACGGCUCACCAAGGCGAUGAUAGGUAGCCGGCCUGAGAGGGUGAACGGCCACAAGGGGACUGAGAUACGGCCCUUACUCCUACGGGAGGCAGCAGUGGGGAAUAUUGGACAAUGGGGGCAACCCUGAUCCAGAAAUUCUGUGUGCACGAAGAAGGUUUUCGGAUUGUAAAGUGCUUUCAGCAGGGAAGAAGAAAGUGACGGUACCUGCAGAAGAAGCGACGGCUAAAUACGUG